rnacentral:rRNA from 1 species
GACGAACGCUGGCGGCGUGCUUAACACAUGCAAGUCGAACGAAGUGGCGAACGGGUGAGUAACGCGUAAUCAACCUGCUCUUCAGAGGGGGACAACAGGUGGAAACGACUGCUAAUACCGCAUACUGAAGGAGGGGAUUGCGUCUGAUUAGCUUGUAGGUGAGGUAACGGCUCCCCUAGGCGACGAUCCCUAGCUGGUCUGAGAGGAUGACCAGCCACACUGGAACUGAGACACGUUCCAGACUCCUACGGGAGGCAGCAGUGGGGAAUAUUGCACAGUUGGCGCAAGCCUGAUCCAGCCAUGCCGCGUGGGUGAAGAAGGCCUUCGGGUUGUAAAGCCCUUUUGUUGGGAAAGCGGUACCCAAAGAAUAAGCACCGGCUAACUUCGUGCCAGCAGCCGCGGUAAUUC